rnacentral:rRNA from 1 species
AUACGUAGGGUGCGAGCGUUGUCCGGAAUUACUGGGCGUAAAGAGCUCGUAGGUGGUUUGUCGCGUCGUCUGUGAAAUUCCGGGGCUUAACUCCGGGCGUGCAGGCGAUACGGGCAUAACUUGAGUACUGUAGGGGAGACUGGAAUUCCUGGUGUAGCGGUGAAAUGCGCAGAUAUCAGGAGGAACACCGGUGGCGAAGGCGGGUCUCUGGGCAGUAACGGACGCUGAGGAGCGAAAGCAGGGGUAGCGAACAGGAUUAGAUACCCUGGUAGUCCAUGCCGUAAACGGUGGGCGCUAGGUGUAGGGGUCUUCCACGACUUCUGUGCCGUAGCUAACGCAUUAAGCGCCCCGCCUGGGGAGUACGGCCGCAAGGCUAAAACUCAAAUGAAUUGGCGGGG